GGUAAAGGGAGAGGGAAAAUAUUGGUACAUGAGUGACAUAGGGUGGUAGUAAGAAGGCAGCAUGUGAUGGCCAUCCCAAGUUCUUAUGUUUUCAGUAUUCGUCGGCUGNUUUCAGUAUUCGUCGGCUGCAAUUGGUAUUGGGAAAUCCUACUCCAGAUGUAGGUUCUAGGGGCAUCUUUGUUGGUUAGAUCGUUCCCCUUCAAUUUAUCUUUGUCUCCAAUACCAGAUUCUUUUGGUGAGCCCAGUUCUAGCAAU
rnacentral:misc_RNA from 1 species